GAGUAUAUGUGCAUACAUUCACUUAUGAGAGAUAGAAAACAAGAGUAUGUAUUUAACUAUUUUUUAUUAGAAUAAAAUAAAAUAUUUGUAUAUGAUGAUUGGAGCACAUGCAGUACGAGUUCAUACAUGUUCUACGGAAAAAGUCAUAAUUAUGAACCUAGCUUGAAAUAAACAAAAUUUAAGUCAGACGCGAUCGAUCCAUAAGAUGAGAGAAACGCCCGUCUCCAGAAGCAAGUCAGGCGUGAUCUAUCAGAUGAGACAAACGCCGUCUCCAGAACGAGAUGAUGGGAUCAAUCUGCACAUUUCAGCCUGUAUAGAACAGAGAGCACCAUGAUCACUGAUCUCUGCAGCCUUUUGAAACGGUGGUGGACAAAAAAAAAUUAUUAACUCUAGAAGAAUCUCAGGAAUCCAAUUUCUACAAAUCAAUAGUUCAAUACACGGAUUCCUACCUCUCAUCGCUCCCUGAUCUUAUCCGAAGAGGGACCAUCUCGCCGCUCCCUGAUCUGAAAAGACCAAGGAACUUGACGCCAGGGCUCGCCUGAUGCUAAAAACUAUAAAUAAUUAAUAUACUACACGUUCAUAGGCCGAUCUCUUGCCGUGAUCCUCCAAGAUGAGAUGGGAAUGAAUGCAAAACGAAGGAAGCGGGACCUAGUGAGCCAACGAGACGAUGCCGCCGGCGACGGUGAAUGUUGUAUUGCUUCCAGACGCCCUAAAAACUGUCAGAUUUUCUAAUAUAUACAGAGG
rnacentral:lncRNA from 1 species